GUAAGCUUAUGUUCAUAUUUUGGA
rnacentral:miRNA from 1 species